rnacentral:rRNA from 1 species
AUUGAACGCUGGCGGCAUGCUUUACACAUGCAAGUCGAACGGUAACAGGGUGCUUGCACCGCUGACGAGUGGCGAACGGGUGAGUAAUGCGUCGGAACGUGCCGAGUAGUGGGGGAUAACGCAGCGAAAGUUGUGCUAAUACCGCAUACGUACUGAGGUAGAAAGUGGGGGACCUUCGGGCCUCACGCUAUUCGAGCGGCCGACGUCUGAUUAGCUAGUAGGUGAGGUAAAGGCUCACCUAGGCGACGAUCAGUAGCGGGUCUGAGAGGAUGAUCCACCACACUGGGACUGAGACACGGCCCAGACUCCUACGGGAGGCAGCAGUGGGGAAUUUUGGACAAUGGGCGAAAGCCUGAUCCAGCCAUGCCGCGUGUCUGAAGAAGGCCUUCGGGUUGUAAAGGACUUUUGUCAGGGAGGAAAUCCCUAGUGCUAAUAACACUGGGGGAUGACAGUACCAGAAGAAUAAGCACCGGCUAACUACGUGCCAGCCGCCGCAGUAA